UACCGGUGCACGUAGCGGCAUGCUUGUUGCAUUCCCCAGUUAGUCUCCUACUGGAAACCGUAUUCUGUCGAGCAUUAAAACAGAUGACACUGCCACAUAACAUACAAAUUGCAGGAAGGAUUGGAGUUUUAUGGCACAUACAGCAAACUGAUUCUUGCAUCGAAUCAAUUAAAUUUUCUAGCCUGUGAGGUAAUUUGACAAGCUCAUAUAUGCCAGGAUAUUCCAAAGAUAUAGUACUAUCACCCCAUGUAUUUUGAGCUAAGUGUUCACACCAGCCAGCGAUUAAUUCCAAAAUCUGAUUAUUUUCAUCAGAAGACAUUUGAGAAUACAGUUCUUGUAAAGGAGGAACUUUUAUUAAUUUGGAAAGCCUUUCUAAUUCACUGUCAUCUUCAUUGUUGGAGAAUUCAUUGAACUCGAGUGAAAUGUCAAACAUGCAAUAUAAUACCAAAGCAACUCGUCGGAGAAACGGUAAAGAAUACUUCUCCACCAAAGACAUUAAACGAAGUAAAUUAGACUCAUCAUCCAAAAUUUCAAUGUUAUUUGAAGAACCACACCAAAGCAGUACAUUCUUGCAUAGAAUAUAAAAUUGGGACUUGGAUUGCUGACUAUAAUUAAUGGUUAAAUCAGGAACGACCGAUGAAUCUGCAACCACUUUUAUCAUAGAAAUUAUUGUCUUGCAAAUUU